ACCUUGCUGACGAGUUCCAAGUAGCACGAAACUCGAGUCCAGGGU
rnacentral:hammerhead_ribozyme from 1 species